rnacentral:rRNA from 1 species
UGUAACUGGCCUGAAAGCCCUAAAGGUACCAGAUCCCAUCUGAUCUUGGAAGGUAAACAAGGUCAGCCUCGGUGAGUACUUAGCUGGGAGACAACCAACAAAUACCAAGUGCUGUGAGAU